UGGAAUUUUCUUCCAUAAUAAGCAUCUUCUUGAGUUCCCAUUGAAGCCCAACAAUCUUGGCUUGCAACUCCUUAUUUUGAGACCUUGAUGAUUGUCUUCUUAGGACUUCUAUAGCAUCAUAUUUAUCUAUAGAGCUAUCAGGAGGUAAGUCUAAGGUGUAUGCAAUAACCCCAACUCUAGCAAGAACCUUGAAUGGUCCACAAAACUUAGCUGAGAGUUUCUGAAAGGAGUGGUCCUUGAGGGAUAAUCGCAUGUAUGGCUGCAACUUGACAUAAACCAUGUCCCCUACUACAUAAGACUUGUCUGUCCUUUUUCUGUUAGCCUGAUUCUUCAUUCUGCAAUGAGCCCUUUCCAAAUAAAACUUCAAAGUCCUGAAGAUUGCAUUGAUUUGGAAGCUCAACGAAGGGAAAGGCUCAAGUCCCGAGUGAUUGUUCAAUUAUUUGAGGAAAGUAGACUUCUCGGCCCUUGUUAUUUCCUUGUUGUUUAAGUUGGGGAGUAAUAAGACUUAGUGAUGGGUUGACUUGUUCAUAUUGAAUAACCCUAAUUAUGAAAAAGAGGUAAUAAAAGGUGAUGAUUUAUAUAUAUUGAUGUGUGAUGUGUUGAGAAUGAUUUGAAAGAUUUAUUGAUUCAUUCUGGAUGUUGUAUCACGAUUAUGUUGUUGUGAAUUGUGCAUUGAUAUGGAAAUGAUUAUAUCCUCAUUAUUUAUGACAAGUAUUAUGUAAACUGAGGAAGAAUAAGAAGUCAAAGAGGAUGUACCAUUUCAAGGGACGUGUCACACGCCGCGGCGAAUAUUAUAAUUCAAAGGAUGUGUCCCACACCGCAACAAAUUCUAUUAUCGAGGGCAUGCAAUGGAUGCAUGGACUAAUAAGUCCUUCAUGGAUCCCAUACUGAGAGACAUCAGGUGUGCAUCGGUUACGAGCCUGGAUCUUCGUGAUAUUCUCUCUUAUCUCCUUGUCCGAGGCUUCCCGUGGAGAUUGGUGAGGUGGUUGUUUGUCAUCUUAGCGGACUUUCCUUCUCAUAUUUAUGAUCUUGUUCUACUUUAGAGACAACAACAUUUGAGACUUGUGUUUUUCUUUCAAAUCUAUUGUAAUACAUUAGAGGCUUGUGUACGUGACAAUUAGAUUUUUAGGGUUUAAUUAAGUUGAUUAUGUUAUU